ACCUGCCACAACCUCGGGGGUCUCGUCACACAGGGCAAUCAGUCACACUUUGACAGAGUGUCUGUCACCGUGUUAACACAGGCACAUGGCGACACACUUCAUGGGCACGUGUUCAGAGACGGACAGAAAGGAUUGGCCUUUAGGCCCUAGCAAGAGCAGCAUUUCAGCGCUAGGAUAAAAUUGCUGUACCGGGAGAUUUGUGCCAACAUCUUCAAAUAUAUCCUGAGCUUAGAUGUUCAGUUUGGAGAAUCACAGAAUCACUGAGGCUGCAAGAGACCUGCAGGGCCAUCAAGCCCAACCUUCAGCUGAAUCCCCCCGAACCACACUGGGAAACAACCUGUCCACUCAUUUUCCCAGCAGUUCCAGGGAUGGUGACUCCAGCAGUGCCCUGGGCAGCUGUGCCAGUGCUUAACCACUCCUCCAGGGAUGGAAUCUUCCCUGCUGUCCAACCUGGGCCUCCCUCAGCAUGGCCUGAGCCGUUUCCUCUCGUCCUGCCCCUUGUUCCUGGGGAGAAGAGACUGACCCUCGCCUGGCUGCCCCCUCCUGCCAGGGACACGAGGAGAGCUCCUUCAGGCAGUUUGAGAGCAGUUUUCCAGGGAGGUUGCUUGCCAGCAAAAUGGGGAAAAACACAAACCCAAAUCAGGUUUUGGGUUUCAGACACCAACAGGGAGUGGAACACUUCUGCUCUUGGGGCUGUUGCUGAAUGCAGAGCACGUCUGUGGGGAAGGAGUAAGUGCAGAGUGGAGCAGCAAGAGAGAACCUGCAUCUUCCACGCUGUCUUGGCUCUGCCAGACUCCACACUCUUCGCUCAGAGUCGUUCUGGGAGGGAUGCUUAAAAAAAACACAGAUAUUCCCCAUCAAAGUGUGUCUGUGGCAAUCCACACCCGCCCAGCUCCUCCAUGAGGAGAUUCAGCUGCUGCUCUUGACAACUGAAUGGACUGAACAGAUCAUUCGUGCCAGCACCAAAAGAGAGAGCAGCAUUUAACUGAGAGAAG